rnacentral:misc_RNA from 1 species
GGAAACCCUCCCUUGCAACCGAAACCUAUAUGCACAUGAAAAGUAAAAAAAGGAAACAUUUCUUAGAAGGAUCGUUCAUGAAAGUUGAUGGCUUCACCCCAUUUAAGCAAAUCGUGUACUCUAAGAAAGGAACAAGGCAAAAAUCGACUAAUGGAGAAGCUUUAGCUUUUCCCUUUUCCAUGCAUCACAGACUUGAGCGAAUUAGUUCACAUAGCCUUUUCACAGAGGACCACUGAUUGAUAGGUUCUGUGUCGUUUUGUAACCAUUUCUUUUAAUCCCAAUCGAUUACAUUCAUUAAAACUAUAAUAUAGAGUUGACACCUUAACUGUCAAUAUGGAUCACAUAAUGAUAAACUACAUAUUUAUCAUUAUCUAGUAUCUACAAUACACCUAAACAUUAGCUUCAACUUGUUAGUUACAGGAUUCAAAUGCUCAUGCGUGAACUAUCGAUGUAGGAUAACAUUUAUAGGCCAUGUAAAUUUUUAAGCAAUGGAAUUUUUUGUCAACGGUUUAGAAAGGAAAGGCAAAAACACAGAAGGCCAAAGGGUAGUAAUAAAGCACAUAUAUGCAAAUAAUUAAGUUCCCAUUAUCAUAGAGCUAGCUUAGCUUUACUUGUAAUAUUAAAUAAAAUAUAUAUUAUAUCUAUUAUUACAAUAAAAUUAUUUUUUCAUUAA